GUUGGUUGGGUGGGACGGGAGGUGACGGCUUCAGGUGGCUCUGGGGUGGGUCAGGUUGGGUGUCAGGAAAGCUUUUAUCUGAAGGAGUGGUGAAGCACCGACACAGCUGCCCAGGGAGUGGGGUUGUCACCGUCCCUGGGGGUGUCCCAGAGCUGUGGGGAUGUGAUACUGAGGGACGUGGGGGUGGAUUGGGGAUCUGAGAAGUCUUUCCCAACCUUCACGAUUGUAUGAAAGCUAUGGAGCCAGGCUGAGAGCUGGAAGUGUUCAGCCUGUGGAAAAGAAGGCUCGGCAGAGAGCUUACAGCACCUAAAGGGGCUGCAGGAGAGCUGGGGUGGGCUGUUUGUCAGCUAUGUGGUGUUAAGCUCAAAGAAACUGGAUUUAGAUUAGAUGAGGAAGAAAUUAUUCACCACCAGGGUGGGGAGGCUCCAGCACUGCAGUCCCAAGCUGUGGGUGCCCAACUCUGGCAGUGCCCAAGGUGGUGGAUGGUGCUGUGGGCAUUGGGCUGUGGGAGGCUUCCCUGCCCGUGGAGGGAUUGAAACUGGCUGAGCUCUGAGAUCCUUUCCAACCCAAAUGUUCUGUGAUUUAUAUUUUUUAACCUUUCUCAUGUAUCAGCUUUGAUCUCAGCUCAGUUCCAAGCAGACAGGUGUUUGUGUCGCAGCCCAUCCUUGUGUUUGAUGAGUGCUGAUGCUCCUCUGUCACAAAAACGAAAGGCCUGGAGGCGUUUUGUUCACAAGAUGAUAGAAACUGAUGCCUCCAUCUCAAGGGAAGGAGGGUGUACCUUCAGAGUGCUGCGCUUCCUUCAGCAAACUUCAAAGCGGGGAUGGCUGCAGUUGAGAACAGUUUGAUUCUUUUUCUGUUGAUGUCUGUGUAUUUACAAGCACAGUUCUUGUGUGUUUGUUUUGAGAUGAAGCUCCUCGUGCUGUGUGUGAGAUUUGGUGUGAAAUCUUCAACGCAGCAUCAGCCACUGAGUGAAUUCUGUUAGUGGAAGAUGCUAACAAAGUACUUCUGGCAAUCUUUGUGUGCAGCCUUCAGCUCCCAUGUGAGAGCACUUUGUGGUUACACUUAAAGAGCUCUAAGAAAUACCACACUCUCAAGGUGUUCUGUGUCUUCUGCUGUGUCCUCUGUGUGUGGAGCUGUGGUUGUUUCAGAAGGAAAUGAAGCAGUUGCUAAGGGAAGUACAUCGUAGUGCAGGAGGAGUUUCAGCAGAGCUGUACAAAGCACACACAAGACAGUUUUCUUUCCUCCCUCUCCUUUGUGCUGAUCCAUAAGUUUUUGUUUCCUGCUUCCUGAUGACUUAAAUCUGGUAAUAUCUGUAUUUCAGAGGUGUUAUCUGGUAAAUCAUGCUCUUAGUCCCUAAAUUGCUCAAGUUUUUCUCAACCAAGACAGCAGUGGCAUGGGAUCGAGGCUUUGUACUCCCAUAAAAGGGCUGCUUGCUUCAUGUUUGUGUUUGUACUUCACCAGUGAGCUGAAUCAGGGUAGCCAAGAACUGCCACCACAGACACUGUCAUUCAAAGGGAAGUCCAUGCCUGUAAGCUGUGCUAUCUGGGAUUCAUUGCUGUGAAGCAUCUCCUUCUGCAGGUUUUUUUUUCCCCUCUGCUGGUGGCAGAGUUGAAAUCUGCAGAGCCUUUCUUUGGCAGUGGAGCUUUAGUGCUGGAGUGGCUGCGGUGCAACACAGCUCCCUCUCAC